AUGCCCAAGACCUUGUCCUCUGACCCAGCUGGGAACCAGCAGCAGCAGGUCAUCACCACCCACUGUGAAUCAGAGGGGGGUGUAACCAUUGACGAGUGGACGAGUUCUCCCCCAUCCAGCCUCCAUCUGACCUCACCCACAAUCACAUCAACUCAAGACAACGUCAGCGGGAAGCCUGAUAACUCGGCUGUAACCAAAGAGUCCAGUCGUCAAAAGGAAGAGCGUUUCGAUCCGGUGUUUCCUAAAGUGUCUACGAGCCUGCUGGUUCUGAGUCAUCAGCAGUGUGAUGGAGAGGUGGGACAGGGAGGUGGGACAGAGACACCGUCAGGCCCCCUCUCAGGUAAAAGCCUCCAUGUUCAGAGGGAGAACAUAGCAGCAGAUCCUGGUCCUGCUGUGGACCAGCGUCACAAUUUAUCAGCCUUUAUAUUCAGACCAAAGAGGAUGAAACCCUCCAAUGCCAUCAGCACCGCCUUAAAUACAGAGACCACUGUUAGUCAGGACAGCUGGGGCAAGCAGGAAACACACAAACACCAAAAGAGUUCAGUCAGCAGAGGACAACCAUUAAGGCCCAACUCUGAUGGUUCAGGUCAAAAAGACAAAGAGCUUCCUGAAGUUACUGUAACUGACAAAAAAACUAACUCAGGGUCCAGCACCAUUCCAGGUGAUAUUUGUGCGCUAAGCCAGUCCUUAUACCCUAAAACCUCGUCUUUGAACCCCAACACCUCGUCCUUGAACCCCAACACCUCGUCCUUGAACCCCAACACCUCGUCCUUGAACCCCAACACCUCGUCCUUGAACCCCAACACCUCGUCCUUGAACCCCAACACCUCGUCCUUGAACCCCAACACCUCGUCCUUGAACCCCAACACCUCGUCCUUGAACCCCAACACCUCGUCCUUGAACCCCAACACCUCGUCCUUGAACCCCAACACCUCGUCCUUGAACCCCAACACCUCGUCCUUGAACCCCAACACCUCGUCCUUGAACCCCAACACCUCGUCCUUGAACCCCAACACCUCGUCCUUGAACCCCAACACCUCGUCCUUGAACCCCAACACCUCGUCCUUGAACCCCAACACCUCGUCCUUGAACCCCAACACCUCGUCCUUGAACCCCAACACCUCGUCCUUGAACCCCAACACCUCGUCCUUGAACCCCAACACCUCGUCCUUGAACCCCAACACCUCGUCCUUGAACCCCAACACCUCGUCCUUGAACCCCAACACCUCGUCCUUGAACCCCAACACCUCGUCCUUGAACCCCAACACCUCGUCCUUGAACCCCAACACCUCGUCCUUGAACCCCAACACCUCGUCCUUGAACCCCAACACCUCGUCCUUGAACCCCAACACCUCGUCCUUGAACCCCAACACCUCGUCCUUGAACCCCAACACCUCGUCCUUGAACCCCAACACCUCGUCCUUGAACCCCAACACCUCGUCCUUGAACCCCAACACCUCGUCCUUGAACCCCAACACCUCGUCCUUGAACCCCAACACCUCGUCCUUGAACCCCAACACCUCGUCCUUGAACCCCAACACCUCGUCCUUGAACCCCAACACCUCGUCCUUGAACCCCAACACCUCGUCUUUGAACCCCAACACCUCGUCCUUGAACCCCAACACCUCGUCUUUGAACCCCAACACCUCGUCUUUGAACCCCAACAGCUCACCUUUAAGUCCCCAGACCCCCAGCAGCAGAUCACACCACAUCAAAGCUGCUGUAGCUGCUUCAGCUUUUGCUAAAUUGUCAAGAUUCUCAUUCAGUGGCACAACCAAAUCAACAGCAACAGUUCAAACGGACGAGAAAAGAGGUCCACCUCAAAGAGAAAAUACUGGUUCAGUAGCUAACGAAACAGCAAGUUCCUUCAGAGGAAAGCCGAGUGAAGCUUUGGACCCCGCUGGGAGGGAAAAGGAUGUGCUAGCGCUGUUGCUGCCUACAGCAGGACAACCCUGUACUUCAGUGAGCUCUGUGAACCCCAGGAAGAGAAAGUGUUUUGAUCUGGGGCGUCCACCAACAGGUCCCAAACAUUUUCUCUCCGAGCUGUCCCUGUUUGGUUCUGCUGAGGUCUUCAAUGAUGUCCUCGACACGGACUGGGACCACGAGGUUCUGAAAUCCUGA
ensembl:lncRNA